rnacentral:lncRNA from 1 species
GGGUAUUGGGUUAAAUUUGUAAAUGGGUUAGUUUAAUGAUUGGGGUUUGGGUUAUUGUAAUGUAUUUGGACUUAUGGGAGUUUAAUGUAAAUGGCCCAAAAUUGGCCUAUAACACCUGCGUGCCCUUAAAUGCCUCCAAAAUAGUCUUAUAAUUUCAAGAAAAUGCCCAAUGCAUGAAUUCAACGUAAGCUAUUUCUUGUCUCACACAAAUUCUCAACAUAAUUUUAAUUUGAAUAAUUAAUUCCAAGAAAAUGCCCAAUGCAUGAAUUCAAUGUAAGCUAUUUCAAGAAAAUGGCCAAUGCAUGAAUCAAAACUUGAAUUUUUGGAGUUCCAGAAUGUUAUUUUGGUAUCGAUUUUGUGUAGCGGUAUAGAUACUGUAAUAGGCCAAUUUUGGCCUGGCCCAAAUAAAACAAUAAAUAACCAAUUAAUAAAACCCAGUGUCCAAAUUACAAAAUGGAUAAUUGACCCAAUCUUUAAAACCAAUUCCCAACUAAAACCCAUUACAUAUUAAACCAAACAACCCAAAAUUUGAAGGCCCAAGUGGCCCAGAAUGUUUAAACAUUUGGAAACCCUAACCCUAGCCCCAACUUUUAGCCGCCGCUCCUCACCAACAGGGCCACCACGGGCGCCGCUUCGUCGCACGCAUCUGACAUCUCUAACACCUGCUAAGGCAAAAUCCACACGCAAGCAAUACAAACAACAGAGAAACAGCAGAGAAAUAAAUAAAGAGAAAAACGACAAACAAAAAAGACAAGAGGAAGAAACAAAUAGUUGUAUUCGGCUAUAAGAGCCACAACCGAUCUUUUGUAUUUUUUACGCAUGUUAAGCAAUAAAAAAAAACAAAACAGAAGCAAAAGGUUGAUUUUGAUUUCCAUUUAUCAUGUUCUUUUUGUUCCUUUUUAUUGUUCUUUUUUAUCUUUUUAUUUCUUAUUAUAAUCUAUUUUAAACAAUAAAAGUAAACGGAAGGAGAUAUUUACCUGAGUCACCCCGGGGUCGCGUCGUCGAAACCUUUCCUCCGUCGCCAAAAUCGAAUCCAAAAGCGGGGUAAAAGGGCCUCCUUCUCUCGUUUUUUGGGCUAAAAAGGGAGUGGCCCUUGAAUAUUUUGAAAGCGGGGCUGAAAAGUCCGUCUUAUGCCGCUCCGACCACCGUCCACGGCACAGGAGUGGCAGGCUGCUGACUGUGGCUCAAGAGGGGUUUUAGAAUCCUUAGCAGAGAAGAGAUGGGGGUUUCUAUUUUUUUACUUAAAUAGGGGCUGAAAUAAAAAAUUUUAAAAAAAAAUUGGCUUUAAUAGUCAUGCAAAACCCUGCUAUUUUGCACACCCCCCACACGCCUAAAAACGGUGUCAUUCAAGGGGAAACCCACACGACCCGACCCAUAACCAGAGGGGAUCCGCGCGUUUUUGACCUAUUGGUCUAUUUGCGCAUUGGACCCCUCCAUUUUUGCAGUGUGUUUGAUUAAGUCUAACCUUUUUUUAUUUACGAUUUAUACACCACAUUUUAACCCUUUUUCAACUCGAUCCUUAACCUUUUAAAAUUAAACUGUUUUAUAUAUUCUACUUAUUUAUUAUAUAUAUAUAUAUAUUAUUUUAAACAAUUUUAUAUAUUAUUUAUUUUAGGUAUUUUUUAUUAGUUCUUUUAAAUUAUUUUAUGUAUUAUUUAUUUUAAAAUUGCUUUGUAAUGACCAUUUCAAAUUGUUUUAUUAUACAUUGUUUUAAUUUAUUUUAUACUUUUAUUUUAAGUUUUUUUGCAUUAGUUUUUUAAAAUUCUUUUACAUAUUAUUUAUUUUAAAUAUUUUUAUAUGUUAUUUACUUUAAACUUUUUUUUUAUAUGUGAUCUAUUAUUUUUUUUUUCUUUUUAUGGC